UUUAUUUAUUUUGGAAUUUUUUAUCGUUUUUGUUGUCAAAAUUUUCGGUCUUUAUUAAUCAAUUUUUUAUUCAAUCUUGUUUACAGACUAUCAAAUAUGUAUGGAAAGAAGAAAAGGACACGUAAAGAAGAAAACAAGCAAGCUCAAUGACUUUUUCUGGAGAAUGUGGAGAAAGAAAAAAUAUGGAACCAAAAAAAAAAAAAAAAAAAAAAUAAAAUCGGCUAUAUAUGACAUCCGAUAAAAAAAAUGGUAAAACACUUGGCAUUUUCUUGUUUUUUUUCUGGUCGAUCUGGUUGGUUGGAUAGAUUGCUCACAAUUUUAGCAAUAUAACAUUUAAAACCGUAAUGCCAUCUAGUAUCGUCUCGACAAAACAGUAAUGUUCUAUUUUUGAAUUUUCGAAUUUAUUAAUAAGGUUUUUUCAUUAGUGAUUAUUGAAGAAGAUGAACAACAAUUAUUCCGGGAUACAGCGUUACGAAUUCAUAAAGAUAUUGAAAAUUUAUUAUCAAACAAUGAUGAUGAUGAUGAUGAGAAA